AACAGGUGUGUGUUCGUCUUCCUGGGUGGAGUUUGCAUGAUUGUGACGCUUCACUGCUCCUCAGAGUUUAAACUCUGCUGUCAAGGCCUGAUUGAACACUUUCCACUGAGUCACACUGAAAUCUGUGUCAGGAUGAAGUCUCCAGUGUCUCUGCUGGUGAUCGUGGCUUUUCUGAGUCAGGAUUGUUCUGCCAAUAAUUUUCUGACUCAGCCUGACAAAGUCAAGGCUGUGAGUCUUGGUGGGACUGUGACCAUCAGUGCCACAGGGAGUUCAGACAUUGAUGAUGAUCUCAGCUGGUACCUUCAGAAGCCUGGACGGAACCCACAGCUUCUAAUAUACAGCGCAUCAACUCUAAACUCAGGAACUGCAUCCAGAUUCAGCGGCAGUAGAUCUGGUUCUAGCUACGCUCUGACCAUCACUGGUGUUCAGGCUGAAGAUAUUGGGGAUUAUUACUGUCUGGGUGAGCUUGGUGGCGAUGAUAGUGUAUUGUUCACACAGUGA